rnacentral:rRNA from 1 species
GACGAACGCUGGCGGCGUGCUUAACACAUGCCAGUCGAACGGAAAGGCCCUGCUUGCAGGGUACUCGAGUGGCGAACGGGUGAGUAACACGUGGGUGAUCUGCCCUGCACUUCGGGAUAAGCCUGGGAAACUGGGUCUAAUACCGGAUAGGAGCCAUUUUUAGUGUGAUGGUUGGAAAGUUUUUUCGGUGUAGGAUGAGCUCGCGGCCUAUCAGCUUGUUGGUGGGGUAAUGGCCUACCAAGGCGGCGACGGGUAGCCGGCCUGCGAGGGUGGACGGCCACAUUGGGACUGAGAGACGGCCCAGACUCCUACGGGAGGCAGCAGUGGGGAAUAUUGCACAAUGGGCGCAAGCCUGAUGCAGCGACGCCGCGUGGGGGAUGACGGCCUUCGGGUUGUAAACUCCUUUCGCUAGGGACGAAGCUUUUUGUGACGGUACCUAGAUAAGAAGCACCGGCUAACUACGUG